rnacentral:rRNA from 1 species
AACGAACGCUGGCGGCAUGCCUAACACAUGCAAGUCGAACGAGACCUUCGGGUCUAGUGGCGCAAGGGUGCGUAACGCGUGGGAACCUGCCCUUAGGUUCGGAAUAACUCCCCGAAAGGGGUGCUAAUACCGGAUAAUGUCUUCGGACCAAAGAUUUAUCGCCUUUGGAUGGGCCCGGGUUGGAUUAGCUAGUUGGUAGGGUAAAAGCCUACCAAGGCGACGAUGCAUAGCUGGUCUGAGAGGAUGAUCAGCCACACUGGGACUGAGACACGGCCCAGACUCCUGCGGGAGGCAGCAGUGGGGAAUAUUGGACAAUGGGCGAAAGCCUGAUCCAGCAAGGCCGCGUGAGUGAUGAAGGCCUUAGGGUUGUAAAGCUCUUUUACCCGGGAUGAUAAUGACAGUACCGGGAGAAUAAGCUCCGGCUAACUCCGUG